GAAAAUCACAAGAUUAGGAAGGAAUUAAGGGCCUAAAUUGAUGCAUGAGCUCCAAUCUUUAACUAUCUAAGCUUGUUCAACACAAGGCGUUAAGGAAGAAAGUUCGAGUCAAGUGAAGCAACAAGGGGAUCAAGACCGAGGUAAAUCUCAUGUCUAGCUAUCAAGCUCCGCCCGGUUCGAACACGCCUCAAGCCCGUCAAGCGUUCCGCAUUUUGUAAAAGUCAAUGUUUAAUACUUUGUCACUUAUGUUUUCGUCUAGUAGUUAAACC